rnacentral:pre_miRNA from 1 species
GUGAGUAGGGAAAAGAAAGCCAUGAGUAUCUUAGAGCAAUGGGCAUGGGAACAUGGAGGAAAGCCUACACUUCUUGGCCUCUAAAUUUAGGGGCCAAAACUGUUUUGUAUUUUCCCGAUGCCUCUCAUGCCUAUUAUUCUUAGAUAUUCCUUCCUUUUCCUAUUUCCU